UUAAAUGGGCCGACGACUAUAAUCUCAUUAAAAAUUGGUUAAUGCUGAUGCACCAGAUCAGUUGAAAUAAAUAGCAGCUUUUUUUUCCCUAUGUAAUAAUCCCAGAGACAUGUCUGCCACCUGCUGAAAGGCUAUUAGGUAAUA